GUUAGUGACAAAGCUGAUUAGCAAGCCAUUGUUCAGCACCAUGUGUUUAAAGCCUGUGAACUAAUUUCAUAACACUACGCCUGUCGCCUCCUCCUUUCAGCCUGUGUUUUUCAGUCUUCCAAAGAAAGAUACUAGACUAGAUGAUCUCUUAGAUUCUUUCUAGUCCUAAAAUUUUAUUACCUAAUUCUUAUAUAAUACCAGUGUAACAUGAUAUGAUAAAGGUUCAGGAAUUAUCGAUGGCAUUUUACAGAAAUGGAAACUGAAGGCAGGGGGCGAGGGAUUUGCUUCAGAACCAUGGAUGCAGUGCCAGGGCCUGAAUCCUUCUAGAGCUCUGUCUUAUGAAGCACUGAGUAUUUGCUGCUCCUGGGUAGAACUGCAGUGUCUUUCCCUUUAGUAAGCUGGUCUGUUUCCUCCCCCAGGCCUGCAGGAGAAAAAAAAAAAGAGUAUUAAUGUCAAGAUAUAAAUUAAAUGUUAGUGUACACUUAUUCCACUCACACAGCCCAUGAGGGUUUGACUCUCACAGUAUUGAAAGUAAGAAAAGUCAGUAGUGCUGAGACUGCCAGGGGCCAAGUAAGAAGGAGGCUAGAGGAGAAGUAAAACAGAUUUGAGCGGCUGGGGAUGCCUUUCUGUGUCUGUGGACUGGGAAUGGGGGUGGGGAGCUGAUUCCAAGGGCAUAAAGACAAGGUUGGCCUCAUCUCUUCCUCUCUGUUCUUGGCAAUAGCCAGUCUAGCUAGAAAGAGCAAUCUGUCAAGUCUAAUUAGAGUAGAAGAAAGUGAACAAUGAGCGCCCACCUCUAAAAUGACAGCCCAGUUUAGUGGUGUGGAGGAGCUUGGGAGGAGGCGUGCUUUGUCUGCUUGGAACUGGUUCCUUUAAAUAUGAAUCCCUUCUGAACUCAAACUGCAAAACAACUUAAACUGGAUUCUUACUUACUUCACUAGAAAUCUUCAGGUCCCCACGCCUUUGAACAUAGGCACAUCCAGCAAAAGCAGAUGAGAACCUGGCUCUGUUUCAAAGACGCUUCUCCUGGUUUAGAGAGCGGGUCGCGAAAAUUCAGCUGCGGCGCCAUCUGCUGGAAGCGCCGCGACGCUGCAAGGAGCUUGCCGGGGAAGGAGGAGACGAGUUGCAGGUGAACGUCCUUUGCCCAGAGAAGGCUCUGACACCAAGGUAACAUUCAAAUGCAGUCCGCUUGUCUAAAAAGAGACCAAGUUGACCCUGCAAGAAAAUGGCCUCAGUUUUGAGGAGCCCUGCGGCCUAAAUGAACUGGCAUAUGGUGUAUGGGUGUUAGGAAAACCUGGGGCUUCCCGAGAAGAGGAGGCUUAAUUCAUUUCAUUACCCAGCCGCCAGCCCUGCCAUAUUCUCCGGUGCAACGCUGAAAACUAAAACCGUAUUUCCCAUCAGUGCACAUGAGGAGGUAUAAGGUGCAGAAGUCACAAUGCAUUUGUUCUGUUGAAUGGAACUGAUUUUGCUG
rnacentral:lncRNA from 1 species